CCGGACUGAGUGGAUGCGGAGCCCUGGAGCUGGAGAACUAGAGGGCGGAUCUUGAAUGGGAUGCUAGACGUUGCUCAUGAGAAACCCGAGGAGGAUACUAAAAAGACAGCUACAGUUUUCCUGAUGCCUGCUGCCAAGUUUCUUGAGGGCCCAGCUGUUGGGGGUCUGUGGUUGAGUUUUUAAGCAGGAUCAAGUUACAAAGCGCCACACACCUAUCCACAGGGGCUCUGAUGUGGUAUGGGGAAGGUAUUGGCCAGGCAUCUGGUAGCAGAUUGACUCUAUGGGACCCCUUCCUGCAAUGCCGGUUGUAUCAGGAGCGACUAUAGCUUUUUCCAGGAAGCCUCCUGUAAGUCUUUUGU